rnacentral:lncRNA from 1 species
CAACACGCCUUAAUGUGAUUAAACGCGUAACUAAAAUCAAUCACCAUCUCUAGACCGAGAUUCAACACUAGGCUCGUGUUGAAUCUAAACAAAGGUUCAUAGUCAUCCUAAGGCCCUAAAACAACUAUAUAGUCCAUCAAAUGAAUGCAAAGUUUAAGUUAGUAGUAUCAUGUACUCUUGCUUUAAAAACCGUUUUAUAAGCAUAGUGGGAGUAUUAUAUACAACU